UAUUUAUUUUUGUGUGUGGAGGAAUUGAAGAAGAUAAAUUAUGCUUGGCUUGGAAAGUGGAGUUCACGUGUGUUGUGGCUUGGCUUUCAUGUUUAUUCCUUUGGUGAGCAGCAGGGUUCUAGCUAGCAUGUAUUCUUUGUUUAGUCUACAAAUAAUGGAGUCUUAGCAAUUCUUAGGAAUUUUAUAUUUAGGUAUUUUUGGAGUGUUUUGAUCUCUUUUGAAAGUGAUAUAUCAGCCUAUUUAAAGGCUAAACAGUAGGAGAAGAAAAAGAGAUGAAUGAAUCAGAAAAAUAUGAGAGUAGGGUGGAGGAGUAGUAGAAACGAAGAAGUAAGCAAGUGUUUUGAGAUUUUGACUCUUAGUUUUGGUGUCUACUUUACGUACCGGUGUGGGCCAAGUAGUUAAUCCCACAGAUUCUUCGGGCUAUUCUACUCAUUGGGGGUGCGUCUCAAUUGGGAGUAUAUAUGCAUACUUAAGGAAUUAGACUCGGGCCAAUUGAGAUUCUUCAAUGUUGUGGUGCUGUGCAAUAUAAUCACCAAACCAUCUAGUUAAGUGGCAUUAGAGAUCAGAACACAAAUUAAACCUAAAAGAAUAUAAUGGCUUCAAGGGGUGCCCUCUUCGUGGAGAUCUUGCUUGCUGUCUUUCUGCCACCUUUGGGAGUUUUCUUCAGACAUGGCUGCUGCAGUGUAUGAUACCAUAUAUACUCCAUAUAUCUCUCAUCAAACCUCUUUGGUUCCUUGUGUUUUCCUUUAUCUCUUUUGUUUGGAUCUAAUAUUAAGGAUGGCAAUAAGGUGUAGUGGAACAAGAGCGGGAAUGAGAUGAGGCAAGGCGGGACGGGAAAUAUACUCCCCUCCUUGUCCCUGCCACCCCAUUCGGCGGUUCUGGUCUCCAUCACCAUUCUAGCCGGAGAAUCUAUAAUUUUAUUCAUUUUUCUCUCCCUAAAGAAUUUUUAGGGAAGUGAAAUUCCCCCUUGAUCAACCCUAUAGGGAAGUGAAAGCCCUAGCCAUGGCCGACUCCUCUCAUUCCUCUUCUUCCGACCUUUCUCCACUGGAUUCUUUUCCAUCCGACUUUUAUCGCCUUGUUCCACCCGAGAUUUCUCCAACCCACUAUCCUCCACCCGACCCCUCCGUUCUGGAAUUUAUAGAAUUUUCAGAGAACUAUCUGGCGAGUUUACCUUUGGAGUGGCCAUCGGAACCAAAACUCUGUCCCUUGCCUUGUAGCCAAUAUAAAACAUCAAUUGACAUCAUUAGAGAGGAAAAACCUUGAAGAGUACAAAAUUAUUAUUGAUAUAUGUAAAUUGGCUCUUGAACAGUAUGAGUCAGAAGAAUUGUAUGAUUUUGAGAGCGUGCCUGAGGGUGAGGAGGUGCCGGCUGUGGGAUGUAUGCAGUAUACUCUCAAGUUUCGAGCUAUGAAGGUGGAUGGUCCUGUAGAAGUGUUUGAAGUUACUGGCCAGCUUAUGGGAGGGGAUCUGAUCAUAAAAGAAUGUACCCCGAAAUAGGGUGUUUUUCCUUGUUGGGUUUUCCUUCUGGACUUGACUUGGGAAUUUCUACUUAAUUUGCACCUACUGCCUCGGGGAUGUUUUUCAAAUAAUAUGUAUUGCACUAAUUUCUGUAGUUUCAAUAAUGUAGUUUGGACCCCUAUUGCUAUUAUAUCAAUUAUGGCUUGUCUUAAAA